rnacentral:rRNA from 1 species
UACGUAGGGUGCAAGCGUUAAUCGGAAUUACUGGGCGUAAAGCGUGCGCAGGCGGUUAUGUAAGACAGAUGUGAAAUCCCCGGGCUCACCUGGGAACUGCAUUUGUGACUGCAUAGCUAGAGUACGGUAGAGGGGGAUGGAAUUCCGCGUGUAGCAGUGAAAUGCGUAGAUAUGCGGAGGAACACCGAUGGCGAAGGCAAUCCCCUGGACCUGUACUGACGCUCAUGCACGAAAGCGUGGGGAGCAAACAGG